rnacentral:misc_RNA from 2 species
AACGCACAUUGCGCCCCUUGGUAUUCCGGGGGGCAUGCCUGUUCGAGCGUCAUUAUAACCCUCAAGCCUAGCUUGGUGUUGGAGCCUGCGUCUCGCAGCUCUUAAAAUCAGUGGCAGUGCCCUCUGGCUCUAAGCGUAGUAAUUCUUCUCGCUACAGACACCAGAGGGCCCGCGCCAGAACCCCCAAUUUCUAGUGAUUGACCUCGGAUCAGGUAGGGAUACCCGCUGAACUUAA